rnacentral:rRNA from 1 species
AAUUGUUCGCAAUGGGCGCAAGCCUGACGACGCAACGCCGCGUGGAGGAUGAAGAUCUUCGGGUCGUAAACUCCUUUCGAUUGAGACGAAUUCCUUCGGGGUGAAUAAUCCUGGAGGUUGACGGUACCGAGAGAAGAAGCCCCGGCUAACUCCGUGCCAGCAGCCGCGGUAAUACGUAGGGGGCAAGCGUUGUCCGGAUUUAUUGGGCGUAAAGAGCGUGUAGGCGGCUUGGCAAGUCCGUUGUGAAAACUGGAGGCUCAACCUUCAGACGUCGAUGGAAACUGCCUGGCUAGAGUCCGGAAGAGGAGAGUGGAAUUCCUGGUGUAGCGGUGAAAUGCGCAGAUAUCAGGAAGAACACCCGUGGCGAAGGCGGCUCUCUGGGACGGUACUGACGCUGAGACGCGAAAGCAUGGGGAGCGAAC